UGAAAAUUGUUGAUUUGAAUAAAUAAAUAAAGUUAUUGUAAUUAAUACAUCUAAACAUUACACAUAUAAAAAGUUAGAUCCACCCUUUCUUUUAAUUCAUACACAUGUACAUAUACCCUUAGGGCAGUGCUUGAUCAUGAGUUGGUCAGUGGAUAUUUGUGAUCUUGGUUUUUAUUGGUUGUUUGUGUCAGGUUGAAUUUGGUUGGUUUGUAUAUUUUGCUUUAUGUGUUUUACCGCCAAGUUUGACAAUCUUUGUCUGGACAUUGACCAGAGCAGACUUUAUAUUUAUAUAGAGAAGUAAUUUAAUUUUGGACCAGACCUUGCUCUUUUUCUGAAUCAGUCAAUGUCAAUAUAAUUUCACCACGCAUUCGGUGUACGUUUUAUGAGCCUGUUCCCAUAGAAUGGGCUUAAAUAUACAUUGCAAAUUUUAAAGUCACUGUGUCCGGAUACGAAUAAACGAACCAUACAGAUAUCUUUGUUGUCAGUUAUUUUAAACAAAGACUGUAACAUUUUGGCGCCCACGUUGGGGCACAGUGACUUUAUAUGUAAUUGGAGCUGGAAAGACUUCACCAACCCUACCCAGUAAACUGUGAACCAUGACGACCAUUGCCAGUGUAUUCCUAUUGAACCAUGACUAGUGUUCCGCGCCUGUGUUCCUAAAUUGACUGGGAUCCGCGCAUCUAUUGUUAUUUCUAGGAUCAGCUGUUCAACUCAUCGACAGAGUACAACACGUGCAAACAAACUGUGUAUCUCACCUGGUGAGUCGUAUAGAUAUAAGACUUUGGUGCACCAUAUUGACAUUAGUAAUUUGUGUGCGCGCAUAUAUGCAUACUUUACCUCAAGGUAGACAAGUCUUGAUUUAUUAUAAUUCAUAAAACUGUUGAAAAAAUUGGUAUACCACAAAGCAUGUAAAUCUGUGAUUUCUUUAGUUUGACAGUGCACUUUAGUAUAAGUUAUCCGGAUUUAAAUACCUGUGUAAUAUUGAUUGAGACAGGGUUGCGUUUGGCCACAAUCCUUAAACCAUUUUUUUGUUGAGAUAUAUUUUUGCCCUUUAUUGUGUAUUGAUCAUUUGAAUUUGAAAUUAAGAACAACAAUAGCAAGAA